rnacentral:rRNA from 1 species
AGAGUUUGAUCCUGGCUCAGAAUCAACGCUGGCGGCGUGCCUAACACAUGCAAGUCGAACGCGACUUGGGCUUCGGCCUAAGUUGAGUGGCGAACGGGUGAGUAACACGUGGGUGACCUACCUUCGAGUGGGGGAUAACGUCCCGAAAGGGACGCUAAUACCGCAUAACAUCCUGCCUUUGAACAGGUGGAGAUCAAAGCCGGGGAUCGCAAGACCUGGCGCUUGAUGAGGGGCCCGCGCCUGAUUAGCUAGUUGGUGGGGUAAUGGCUCACCAAGGCGACGAUCAGUAUCCGGCCUGAGAGGGCGGACGGACACACUGGGACUGAGACACGGCCCAGACUCCUACGGGAGGCAGCAGUGGGGAAUUGUUCGCAAUGGGCGCAAGCCUGACGACGCAACGCCGCGUGGAGGAUGAAGGUCUUCGGAUUGUAAACCUCUGUCACCGGGGAAGAAACGCUUCAAGUUAAUAGUUUGAAGCCUGACUUAACCCGGAGAGGAAGCAGUGGCUAACUCUGUGCCAGCCGCCGCGGUAAUAC